UCUCCUCCAGAAUGUGAUUUUGAAGAAAGGAGGAAAGAUGUGAAAAGUGAUUGGUCAGCCACAUUCAUGGUGUUGAGAAAAGAAUUUGCUUUUCUGGAACAUAGCCUGUGAUAGCAGAACAACACCUGGCAAGAAACAGGUUAUGUUUGGCUGGAGAGUCAUUGGCACUAUCAAGAAAUAUUAAAGUGUAGAUUUGAGAGAGGAGGAGAAAGACCCAAGCAAAAUUGAAAACCAGGUGGGACCCAGACAGCAGCAAAGCAAUGGAAGCAUGUAUUUUGGUCAAUAUAGAGUUAAUACACAAUUUUGCCCCUCUUCUUCUGAUCAUGGGACUCAUAUUACCAGUCUUCACAUUUCCUUUAAAUUCAGGAAUCAGGAAGAAUUUCCAGAGUUUGCAGAUGGACACAUUUGCUGCUUCCAUUCUAAACAUAAGUUAGAAGAACCUUUCAACUGGAUUCCAACUUUAAUAUGUCACAAACAUAAAAAAGAAAGCUAUUUCCUGGACUUUUCUUCAUUAGAAAUUAAUAGAUUGUCAAUUGGCAUAGGGAAAAGAUAAUCAACAGAUGCCAACCCCAAGUUAACAGAAAUGCUAAAAUUAUAAGACAAAGACUUCAAAAUAGCUAUUUUAAUUUUGCCUAGUGAGGUAAAUGCAAACAUGCUCACUAUGAAUGAAAACAGGUAAUCUCAGCAGUCAUGUAAACUAUAAAAAUAAGCAAAUAUAAAUUUUAGAAUUAAAACACAAUAUCUAAAAAUAAAUUCACCUGAUAUUCUCAAUAGAAAAAAUGGUAAUGCAGAGAAAAAUGUAUGAAAAUAUGGCAAUUUGAAGAAGAGAGAAGAGAUCAAUAAAAUAAAUAAGUAUAUCCUUGGAGACCUGUGGAUGUUUUUUGAAAAGUGAAUCAUGUAAGUAAUUGAAGUCCCAGAAGAAAAGAAAAGAAGAGGAUGAGCAGAAAAAAAUUUCUGAAAAAAUAUCUGAAAGCUUAAACACUAUAAUGAAAGACACACAUUUACAAACUCAAGAAGUUUAGUAAACCAAAAACAAUAAAAUCAAAGAGAACUGUGCCAAGCGACAUCAUUUUCAACCUGCUGAAGAUCUUGACAGCAGUCAGAGAAAAAAGACACACUUAUUACACAGAGAGGAACAAUACAUUAAAUACUAGC
rnacentral:lncRNA from 10 species